rnacentral:hammerhead_ribozyme from 1 species
UGCCGAAACGCCCUCGGGCGUCGUCGCGGGGUGGUUCCUGCGGCCUGACGAUGGCAGCCGACC